rnacentral:misc_RNA from 1 species
AUUGUCGAAGACGCAAUGUACCGUGAAAGAAGAGCAGCCCCAGACACUAGACGGGGAGAAGAUCCUGACCCCAUGAUGAAACGUGGAGAUCAUCCUGGAUUUCAUGCUUCACCCAGGAGCAUGAUGAUGAUAGCUCAUAUCGUCAACUUUGUCUAUGGCAGCUCUUUCUUCAUGCAGGCCAGUGUCUUUACAUACUUAUGUAGAAAGCUGGGGGCAGAUACAGAAACUUACGGUUGGAUCCAGACUCUAUUUGCAACUCUUCAGCUAAUUGGGAACCCAAUUUUUGGUUACUUCGGAGAUGUCUUUGGUCCUAAGGUCACAGUGAUUGUUGCACUGACCUCAGCAGGCCUGUCACACAUGCUUCUAGGAUUUUCCACAAACCUGACCAUGCUUGUGAUUUCUAGGUUCCCUGCCAUCGCUAUGCAUGGCUAUACAGCCUGUCAGAUGCUUGUGACCAGCGUAAGUGAAAAAAACAAGAGAGCAAAGGCUCUAGGACAGAUUGGGGUCUCCUUUGGUGUGAGCAUGAUUGUUGGACCACUUAUAGGAGGAUGGCUAACCAAGUUGUACGGGGAAGAAUUUACAGUACUUGUGGCAGGAGCAGAGAAUCUUUUGACUGUACCAUUAGCCCUGAUGGUCAUUCCACAGAAAAUCAAGCCAGCGUCAUCACAGCAUACUGACACCACUAAAAGUUUGGGGAGUGUUCAAAAGUUGAUUCGUUUUUUCUCUACACCUGGUGUCAUCUUCCUCUUCUUGGUACAGCUCUGUUCAGCUCUUCCUAGCCAGCUCUUUUGGAGCACAUUUCCUGUGUUUGCUAUGGAUACAUUUGGGCUUUCCCCAGAGCAAGGAGGGUACUUCAUGUCCUUCAUAGGCAUUACAUUAAUGGCUGCUCAAGGCAUUGGUGUGGGCUUUGUGGCAAAGACUUUCAGUGAGAGUACUGUGCUAGCGGGUUCAUCUUUCUUCUUGAUUUGGUCAUACCUAGGUUUGGCAUAUAUAACCAAAGUAUGGCAGCUGUACUUGGAUGUGCAUUGCCAUUUCUGUGUUGUCUGACACUCAUUAAUAUAAUUAUCACCACUGCCCUCACACACACUGUUUCAAGUGAAAAUACAGGCACUGUACUUGGUCUCAACAUGGCAGUAACCUAUUUCAUGCAAGCUGCCACUCCAACUCUGGGAGGUUACAUGCUCAGUACAUUUGGUUAUCCAUCUAUUGGAGUGUUUGGUUUCAUUAUGAGCUUUGUUGUAACACUUAUGUUAUGCAUUGGCUACAGGAAGAAACCAUGGGCAGCCUGGGGUAAAUUUAAACAGUUGCUUUUGGGUGUCAUGGUAUCUCGUUGGUGAGAGGACCUAUGUAUGUACUGAUAUAGAGAUAUAGAUAGAUAAUACUAAUCUGUAAGUGUGACCAUCCAUGUGUGUAAACUGUGUAUUAUCAAGAAUGACCAGGCUCUCAUUUGUAUAGAUCUGUGCACACAUGUGGUAUGUACUAACAUGAAAAUCUCUUGUCGCUACUGUUUACAGCUUGUUUGACCUGUGGAGAUUUAUUCGGAGCAUUCUUGGCCUGCUCUUUCUAACGACUUCCUCGAUAACAAUUGCAGAUCAAACUCAGUCUUGGGUAGUGAAAUUUAUAACCAGGCUGCAUAGACAACUCUAGUCCUCUGUUUCCUUCUGUCUACAAGAUUUUUUUUUAUAAUUUUUGCAUUUCUUUUAAUUUCAUAGACAUGUUGAAUAACAGAGUACUACAUUCAUUCUGCCACUACUCAGACAGUACACCCCUUUUUAUUCAUCCAAUAUUUUAUCUCCUUUUCUUUUCUGUCAUUUUGGUUGAUUUCUUCAAUUUCUCCCUAUCAUGAUUAUCAUUGUUGUUAUUAUUGCUAUUUGUAAAAUGUCAUUAGCUUGCUUAUAAGGAUGGGAUAUGGCGCUAUAUAAAUGAACUUUAUUAAUAUUAUCUUUAGAUUAUUUUAAUAAUCUUUUCACAAAUAAAGCUGAGUGUAUUGUCAAGCAUAAGUAAACAAAUAAAAUCGAUAUGAGCGAUA